AGUCGAGCGAAUCGAUGGGAGCUUGCUCCCUGAGAUUAGCGGCGGACGGGUGAGUAACACGUGGGCAACCUGCCUAUAAGACUGGGAUAACUUCGGGAAACCGGAGCUAAUACCGGAUACGUUCUUUUCUCGCAUGAGAGAAGAUGGAAAGACGGUUUACGCUGUCACUUAUAGAUGGGCCCGCGGCGCAUUAGCUAGUUGGUGAGGUAAUGGCUCACCAAGGCGACGAUGCGUAGCCGACCUGAGAGGGUGAUCGGCCACACUGGGACUGAGACACGGCCCAGACUCCUACGGGAGGCAGCAGUAGGGAAUCUUCCGCAAUGGACGAAAGUCUGACGGAGCAACGCCGCGUGAACGAAGAAGGCCUUCGGGUCGUAAAGUUCUGUUGUUAGGGAAGAACAAGUACCAGAGUAACUGCUGGUACCUUGACGGUACCUAACCAGAAAGCCACGGCUAACUACGUGCCAGCAGCCGCGGUAAUACGUAGGUGGCAAGCGUUGUCCGGAAUUAUUGGGCGUAAAGCGCGCGCAGGUGGUUCCUUAAGUCUGAUGUGAAAGCCCACGGCUCAACCGUGGAGGGUCAUUGGAAACUGGGGAACUUGAGUGCAGAAGAGGAAAGUGGAAUUCCAAGUGUAGCGGUGAAAUGCGUAGAGAUUUGGAG
rnacentral:rRNA from 1 species